rnacentral:rRNA from 1 species
UACAGAGGUCUCAAGCGUUGUUCGGAUUCAUUGGGCGUAAAGGGUGCGUAGGCGGCGCGGUAAGUCGGGUGUGAAAAUCUCGGAGCUUAACUCCGAAACUGCAUUCGAUACUGCCGUGCUUGAGGACUGGAGAGGAGACUGGAAUUUACGGUGUAGCGGUGAAAUGCGUAGAUAUCGUAAGGAAGACCAGUGGCGAAGGCGGGGUCUCUGGACAGUUCCUGACGCUGAGGCACGAAGGUCAGGGGAGCAAACGGG